AAAGAAAAUAAAUAACUUCUUGUAAACAACUGAGAUAUAAUACUAUGCAACAAAACUACCAAUGGUCCUGUUUUGAAGAAAAAAAAUGAGAGUAUUUUGGAAUUCCCAUUUGCUAGGGCAUUAGUCUCUUAUUAAUAGAUUGAUAAAUAUAAAAAAUGAAACUUACUUGACAUUUUGGAAGGUUAAGUUCUCAGUUCCUUAAGAAUGAAUCUGAGACACUAAAAUAAAAAAAGAAAAAAAAAAGAAAAAAAAAAAGAGAAUCAAAACUCAGCAAGCAUAAGAGAUGUUUCCCUGAAGAAUAGGGUAGUUUAAAUUGGUACUUCUUAGUAAAAUUACACUAUCUUCUAAUAAUCCAAUUUUCUGCAUGAAACUAGUUCUUAUAGGUCAUUUGGCUCAUCAGAAUUAAACAACUAAAACAAAUUACUGGGGAUAUUAGCAUUAAUAUUAGACAUAGACUUCCAAGUUUCUUAUGAUAUUGGGCCACCUCUUGCAUGGAAAACAUAUUGCUAAUGCCAUGUGAACAUUUAAUUAAACUGAUAAAAAUACAAUGACAAUAAAAUGUGAUGUAUUAUCAGGGCCCACCCCAACAAGGCCUACCAGAUACUGACAGAUCACUGAUGAACAGCAGCUUUACCUUCCUCUUAGAAUAACAACUUCUAUUAAAACAAGGCAGCAUUUUAUUCCUGGAGGCAACGCAAAAGGUAACUGGUAUGAUCGUGAGCUUUACGUUCUCUAAUGGUGGCAAAUAACUUUAUCUCUCCUGGGAAUAACUUUGAGAGUCUACCUGAGAAACUCUUAUUAACCCUUCACAGCCCAUUUCAAAAUAUUAUCUCCACAGUGGAAGAUAAUGAUAAAUUAUCUUCAUGAUAAAUUUCAUGAUAAAUUACCCGGGAAGAAUGAGUUGCUUCCUCAUCUGUACUCCUAUCCAAUUUACAGAUCCAUAAUAUUGUUCAUUACAUUGUAUCAUACCUGUUAAUAUGGCUAGAUUGUGGAAUAGAGACCAUCUAACUCAUUAUUGCAGUCCCAGCACCUAGCUCAAUUCUUAAUACAUUUUGUCCUAAUAUUACCAGCUCAGAACCAGACCAUACCCGCGUGAGCUUGUUCCUCACAUCAAAAUACAUCACACACGAUGUGUACAAAGAGACAAGCAUUCAUUUUUAAAAAAGAAGCAAAUAACUUCUAUGACUACUGGAAUACUUUCAUGGAACAUUAGGUGAAAACAAGCAUGAUGCUUUUGCUUCUAUUCUACAUUUUAAGGGAAUUCCCUGGAGCAUAAGGAAUAAGAGGACUGUGUGGAAAGAAAUUUUUCAAUGGCCCAACCUGGGUCUCUCCCUCUUAAGGAAGGGGCAGAAACCAUGGUCUCCGGUGCAGAUAGAUUUCCUUGCGCUCACAAUAGGGAGUGGGUGGGGUGUGGGUGGAGGGACUGUCAACAUCCAGAAGGCCUUGCUGCGGGGAUCCCUGACAAUAAUUGGCAAAGCUCCCUGGUACAUCACACUUUAUUGCUAAUAUUUUUAAAUUAUUGCUCUCGUCUGCUACUAUAAAUUCUAAGCGUGAGCUUGUACAUUUGUCUGCCACUGGAUCCAUCCCCCGUGCCUGGCAUAAAAUACUAGCUAUUUGUUGAACACUUUAUACGGGGCAGGCUUAUCACUUAUUUCGGUUCAUGGUCACAACUACCCUACGAGACACAGAGCAUGAGCGGGGGAGGGGCAGAGAGACGAGACAGAAUCCAAAACAGGCUCCAGGCUCUGAGCUGCCAGCACACUACCCGUCCUGGGGCUCAAACUCGUCAACCUGGAGAUCAUGACCUGAGCCGAAGUUGGACGCUAAACCGAUUGAGCCACCGGGAGCCCCAAUACAUACUAUAUUCUUAACAGUAAUACCUAACUUUGUCUUCUUUUUUUUUUUUUUUUUGGCAUUUCUAGGCUAUGCAGUUCCUCUGCAAGUUUUUUCAAAUAGUUGCAAAUCUCCAAAAAUUUUACCAAUAUAUUUAUUGAAAAAAAGUCCACGUGUAAGUGGACGUGUGCAGUUCAAACCCAUGUUGCUCAAGGGUCAAUUGUACUUGAAACCACCUUUUUAAUAUAAAAGCAUCUAAGACAUAUAAAAGAUUAAUGUAAGAUACAUGAAAGCCUCAGCAAGAAUCUCAGUACCUUCUUUCUCUGGUUUUGUCCAGCACCUCCAGCUUGGUUUCUUCCCUGCACUUGGGGUUAUGGUGGGGGGAUUGGGCAAGUGUGGUGCUGGGGCAGGUGUUCCUGUGUGUCAUUUCCAGGCAGUCCUGCAGGUGCCGGAUGUUACACUGUAGUGGGAAAGAGGUGGCACAAAAGUGGCGGAAAAAGAAAAGGGGAUCUGUGUGGAGUAGUGACAUUGAUACACUUUCCCACCUCCUGGUCUUUGCUUAAAUGUCAUCUUCUCAGUGGGUCUUUUCAGACCUAUUUAAAAUUGCAACUCAUUUCCCAAUCUCUAUCCAUGGUCUGUGCUUUGCUUUGUUUUUGUUUUUCUAUAGCUCUUAUCACCACCUGGCAUACUAUGUAUUUAUUUUGUUGCCUUUUUCUUCCCAUCAGAAUGAAAGCUCUUUGAGGGUGGGGACGUUUCAUAUCCGGAACAGUGUGUGGUACAUCCACGUGCUCAAUGAUUGUGGAGUGAAUAAAUAGUUACCUCCUUU